GAUGAACGCUGGCGGCGUGCCUAAUACAUGCAAGUCGAGCGAACAGACCAGGAGCUUGCUCCUCUGACUUUAGCGGCGGACGGGUGAGUAACACGUGUUUAACCUACCUAUAAUACUGGGAUAACUUCGGGAAACCGGAGCUAAUACCGGAUAAUAUAUUGAACCGCAUGGUUCAAUAGUUAAAGACGGUUUUGCUGUCACUUAUAGAUGGUUCCGCGCCGCAUUAGCUAGUUGGUAAUGUAACGGCUUACCAAGGCAACGAUGCGUAGCCGACCUGAGAGAGUGAUCGGCGAAAAUGGAACGGAGACACGGAACAGACAAGGAGGGGAGGCAGCAGUAGGGAAUAUUACACAAGGGGCGAAAGCAUGACGGAGCAAAACAGAGGGAGGGAAGAAGGAGUACGGAUCGUAAAACAGUGUAAUAAGGGAAGAAGAAAAGUGGAAGAAACGAGGAAGGGAGUGACGGGAAGAAAUAAGAAAGCAACGGCUAACUACGUG
rnacentral:rRNA from 1 species